GACGAACGCUGGCGGCGUGCUUAACACAUGCAAGUCGAACGGAAAGGCCCUGCUUUUGUGGGGUGCUCGAGUGGCGAACGGGUGAGUAACACGUGAGUAACCUGCCCUUGACUUUGGGAUAACUUCAGGAAACUGGGGCUAAUACCGGAUAGGAGCUCCUGCUGCAUGGUGGGGGUUGGAAAGUUUCGGCGGUUGGGGAUGGACUCGCGGCUUAUCAGCUUGUUGGUGGGGUAGUGGCUUACCAAGGCUUUGACGGGUAGCCGGCCUGAGAGGGUGACCGGCCACAUUGGGACUGAGAUACGGCCCAGACUCCUACGGUAGGCAGCAGUGGGGAAUAUUGCACAAUGGGCGGAAGCCUGAUGCAGCAACGCCGCGUGCGGGAUGACGGCCUUCGGGUUGUAAACCGCUUUCGCCUGUGACGAAGCGUGAGUGACGGUAAUGGGUAAAGAAGCACCGGCUAACUACGUGCCAGCAGCCGCGGUGAUACGUAGGGUGCGAGCGUUGUCCGGAUUUAUUGGGCGUAAAGGGCUCGUAGGUGGUUGAUCGCGUCGGAAGUGUAAUCUUGGGGCUUAACCCUGAGCGUGCUUUCGAUACGGGUUGACUUGAGGAAGGUAGGGGAGAAUGGAAUUCCUGGUGGAGCGGUGGAAUGCGCAGAUAUCAGGAGGAACACCAGUGGCGAAGGCGGUUCUCUGGGCCUUUCCUGACGCUGAGGAGCGAAAGCGUGGGGAGCGAACAGGCCUAGAUACCCUGGUAGUCCACGCUGUAAACGGUGGGUACUAGGUGUGGGGUCCAUUCCACGGGUUCCGUGCCGUAGCUAACGCUUUAAGUACCCCGCCUGGGGAGUACGGCCGCAAGGCUAAAACUCAAAGGAAUUGACGGGGCCCCGCACAAGCGGCGGAGCAUGCGGAUUAAUUCGAUGCAACGCGUAGAACCUUACCUGGGUUUGACAUGGAUCGGGAGUGCUCAGAGAUGGGUGUGCCUCUUUUGGGGUCGGUUCACAGGUGGUGCAUGGCUGUCGUCAGCUCGUGUCGUGAGAUGUUGGGUUAAGUCCCGCAACGAGCGCAACCCUUGUUCACUGUUGCCAGCACGUUAUGGUGGGGACUCAGUGGAGACCGCCGGGGUCAACUCGGAGGAAGGUGGGGAUGACGUCAAGUCAUCAUGCCCCUUAUGUCCAGGGCUUCACGCAUGCUACAAUGGCUGGUACAGAGAGUGGCGAGCCUGUGAGGGUGAGCGAAUCUCGGAAAGCCGGUCUCAGUUCGGAUUGGGGUCUGCAACUCGACCUCAUGAAGUCGGAGUCGCUAGUAAUCGCAGAUCAGCAACGCUGCGGUGAAUACGUUCCCGGGGCU
rnacentral:rRNA from 1 species